AUGGUUGAGACGGACAUGUCAGAACCAAAUGAAGACAUCGCCAAUCAAGAAUCUGAGAGCUUAGCGGUGGUCACAGAGGGAGAGCAGAAUGAGAAUAAUGGGCAGCAACCGGAUGCAUCGGAGAAUGCUAAGAAGGAAGUGGUGAUGCCCAAGAAAAGGAAAGAGAUGGAACCAAGAUCAGAGGUCUGGGAUAGUUUCACCAAGAUUGUAGAGGGAGAUGUUUUGAAGAGGGGCAAGUGCAACUACUGUAAACGUGAGCUUAAAUGUGAAACAAAAAUCAAUGGUACAUCUGCCCUAAAUUCUCAUUUAAAGAUAUGCAAGAAGAAUCCUAAUAGGAACAAAGAUGAUAAGCAGCCUACUUUGCAAGCUACACGAAAUGAAGGGGAUGGUAGCAAGUGUACACUUACUGCUUGGAGGUUUGAUCCUGAAAUGCUUAGGAAAGCUUUUGCUGAAAUGAUUAUUACAGAUGAGCUCCCUUUUGCAUUUUCUGAGAAAGAAGGGUUUAGAAAGUUUAUGUCCAAGGCAUGCCCACGUUUCAAUGUGCCGUCUAGGAGAACAACUACUAGGGAAGUUGUUAGCAUGUUCAAUGUGCAGAAACAAAAGCUGAAAAAAAUCUUUAAGGAAUCAUGCGAAAGAGUAUGCCUCACCACUGACACAUGGACUUCUGCCCAGAAGCAGAACUAUAUGUGUGUUACAGCACAUUUCAUUGAUGGUGACUGGAAGCUACAAAAGAAGAUAAUUGGGUUUUUCUUAGUGAAGGGACAUAGGGGGGAGGACAUUGGGAAGGACUUGGAGAGAUGCUUAGUAGAUUGGGGGCUUGAUAAAGUUUUCACAAUAACUGUUGACAAUGCUUCUGCUAAUGACGGUGCUAUAAAUUAUAUCAGGAGGGUUAUGAAUAAAGCCAAAAGUAGUAUUGCUGAAGGGAAGUAUUUUCACAUGAGAUGUGCUGCGCAUAUUAUAAACUUGGUGGUUACUGAUGGACUAAAGGAAAUCGACCUUUCAGUGGCACGUGUGCGAGCUGCUGUAAAGUUUGUGAAGAACUCCCCUGCUAGAAUUACAAGGUUUAAGAAAUGUGUUGAACUAGAGAAAGUUAAAAGUAAAGCCUUUUUGUCAUUGGAUGUGCCUACUAGAUGGAACUCAAUAUACCUUAUGUUGAGAGCUGCAGCAACGUAUGAGCAAGUUUUUUAUAGGUAUGCUGAUGAGGACCCGUACUAUGCACUUGAUUUAAAUGGUGAGAAAGGUCCGGGAGUUCCAGAAGCCGCAGAUUGGGAUAAUGCAAGAAAGAUGACAGAAUUUUUGGAACACUUCUACAAGCUUACUGUCCGUGUUUCCGCGUCGCUACACUGUACAGCUCACAUAUUUUUUCAUGAGAUAGCCGAUGUUAUCAUCUUGUUGUGGCAAUGGUGUGAAAGCGAAGAUUCUUUGCGUAAGGACAUGGCUAAGAGGAUGAUAGCUAAGUACAAUAAAUAUUGGGGGGAUCAUAAAAGCUUCAACAUCCUUAUUUUUAUUGCGGUUUCUCUUGAUCCAAGGUACAAGUUGUCAAAUUACAUAAAGAUAGCUAUUCUGGAGAUGUUUGGUGAGACCCAAGGGCAGGUAGUUUGGACUGAAAUAAGUAAGACGCUUCACGAGUUAUUUGAAGAAUAUGGAAAGAUAUAUGCUCCAAGUGAUAAAGUGCAGCCGUCCAAUGUAGCACAAGAACCUGAAGCCCGUGGCACAAGUUUAAGGAAGUCCUUGAUUGCUCAAAAGAUGAGGACGAGCACUUUUGGAAUUACUGCUAGUAAAUCUGAACUUGAGAAGUACCUUUCCGAGGAGAAUGAAGAAGAUGGCAGCAAGUUUGACAUUCGUGAGUGGUGGAAGGUCAAUUCUUCUAGAUUUCCAGUAUUGUCACAUUUGGCCCUUGAUGUUUUAGCAAUUCCUAUAUCUACGGUUGCAUCGGAGUCGGCCUUCAGCACUGGUGGUCGUAUUUUAGAUCCAUUCAGGAGCUCCUUAACUCCAUUUAUGGUCCAAGCACUUGUCUGCACACAAGAUUGGUUGAGGGGAUCUAUUGCUGUAAAUGACGAAGAGGACACUGCAGAAUUAACUAAGCUAGAGGAAGCAUUGCUUGAAGAAAUAAAUGGGCUCAAUAUUUCGAAGAACAACUCCAAUAAGGAUAAUUCGGUCAUCAUGGAUGAUCGUACUUCCUAA
rnacentral:rRNA from 1 species